UUCAGCUUAAUUUUAUUUCCUCUUAUAAAUGGGCACAGCACAGGGAAAUGUUAAAAAACAAAAACUAACAGAAAACAAAACAAAGCAAGCCCUGUCCUUCCCAAGCCAGGGGUGUACGAGCGCCCAUGGUAAGGAUGGACCAGGCCUUGGUAUCUUUAUCUUUAUCCAUCUGACCCUCUCCUCCUUCUCUUAUUUAAGUUUUGGCCAUGAACUCAGGACAGGCUGUGCCAACUGCCUAGAUCCUGUCCAUUACCCAGAUGUGGUUCUUCAGUCUGCCCAACUCUGCUGUCAGGGAUUCUUUAAAAUGAAACAGAAAGAAACCAUGUGGUCACCUGACUGAACCUGGGACAUGUGAGAGAUGGUGGAGGGGUGCCGGCCAGUCACUACCCAAGCUGUGUCCCUUUGGUGCUGAGAG
ensembl:antisense Gm26716 predicted gene, 26716